rnacentral:lncRNA from 1 species
AUGUGUCGAGUAGUCAAAUAAUAAAGAUAUUAUUUUUCUGAAUUUUUGUACUAUUUGUCAGCUUUUAAAACUUUGUAACAUGCUAUCAUUUCUUUUCUCAUUUUAGGUAAAAUAUUCAAUUUCAUACUUAAUUUCGUAUUUGUAACUUUGCAUUCUUUUUCCUAGGGAAGGAGCUCACCUCACCACUAAUUGUCUAAGCCUCAGUUUCCACAAAAACUGGAUCUUCCCUGACAUCAUCGUUUAUUAUAGGGUGAGCCUGCAAAUCUCUGACUCAAGAGGACCUGGGUGAGAUGUCACACUGCAAACAGAGGUAAAGGUAGAGUCAGCUCUAUCUGAAACACAGACUGAAUAAGAGAAGAGUGGUUUCCCCAGAGGAAACAUGGGGUAACAAUAAUAAUCAUAUGGAGAGGAAGCAAGGAAAUACUGGGUAGAGAAGGGCGGUUCCCUGGCAAGGGCCUCAUUCUCAUGCCUGGAAACUCACGGGAAUAGGC